rnacentral:rRNA from 1 species
AGCGAACGCUGGCGGCAGGCCUAACACAUGCAAGUCGAACGAACUCUUCGGAGUUAGUGGCGGACGGGUGAGUCACACGUGGGAACGUGCCUUUUGGUUCGGAAUAACUCAGGGAAACUUGUGCUAAUACCGAAUGUGCCCUUCGGGGGAAAGAUUUAUCGCCCUUAGAGCGGCCCGCGUCGGAUUAGCUAGUUGGUGAGGUAACGGCUCACCAAGGCGACGAUCAGUAGCUGGUCUGAGAGGAUGACCAGCCACACUGGGACUGAGACACGGCCCAGACUCCUACGGGAGGCAGCAGUGGGGAAUCUUGCGCAAUGGGCGAAAGCCUGACGCAGCCAUGCCGCGUGAAUGAUGAAGGUCUUAGGAUUGUAAAAUUCUUUCACCGGGGACGAUAAUGACGGUACCCGGAGAAGAAGCCCCGGCUAACUUCGUG